UAGAGGCAUUGGAAGGGGCAUCGUUAAAGUGUUUGUGCAAAACGGAGCCAAAGUUGUGUUCUGCGCACAAGAGACUGAGUUGCCUGCUGGCCAGUCUUUUGAGUCUGUGCUG